GACGAACGCUGGCGGCGUGCCUAACACAUGCAAGUCGAACGGAGAAUUAGCAAUAAUUCUUAGUGGCGAACGGGUGAGUAACGCGUAGACAACCUACCCUUUAGAUGGGGACAACACCGCGAAAGUGGUGCUAAUACCGAAUAUUGCUUGAGAAGCGCAUGCUUUUCAAACUAAAGAUGGCCUCUAUUUAUAAGCUAUCGCUAAAGAAUGGGUCCGCGUCUGAUUAGCUAGUUGGUGAGAUAAAAGCUCACCAAGGCAACGAUCAGUAGCCGGUCUGAGAGGAUGAACGGCCACACUGGGACUGAGACACGGCCCAGACUCCUACGGGAGGCAGCAGUGGGGAAUCUCCCGCAAUGGACGAAAGUCUGACGGAGCAACGCCGCGUGAGUGAUGAAGGUUUUCGGAUCGUAAAACUCUGUUGUUAAGGACGAAUGUAUAGAUUGUGAAUAAUGGUUUAUAAUGACGGUACUUAACGAGGAAGCCACGGCUAACUACGUGCCAGCCGCCGCUGUAA
rnacentral:rRNA from 1 species